GGCCUUUUGAUUAUAAUUUAAGGUCUAGCCUGCCCAAUGAUGAAAUUUAAUGGCCGCAGUAUACUGACUGUGCAAAGGUAGCAUAAUCAUUAGUUUUUUAAUUGAAAGCUUGUAUGAAAGGUUUGAUGAAAGAAAAGCUGUCUCUAUUUAAAAUUUUAGAAAUUUAUUUUUAAGUUAAAAAGCUUAAAUUGGUGUUGAAGACGAGAAGACCCUAUAGAGUUUUAUUUAUAUAGUAAUAGUUAGAGUUUAGAAUCUAAAAAUUUAUUUAUUAUUAUAUGAAUUUGGUUGGGGUGAUUAAAAAAUUUGUUAAACUUUUUUUGUAAUUUUACAUUUAUUUAUGAGUCUUUGAUCCUUUAUAAGAUUAUAAGAUAAAAUUACCUUAGGGAUAACAGCGUAAUUUUUUUUAGAGUUCUUAUCGAAGAAAAAGAUUGCGACCUCGAUGUUGGAUUAAAAUUUAAUUUUUGGUGUAGAAGCUAAAAAAUUAGGUCUGUUCGACCUUUAAAUUUUUACAUGAUCUGAGUUUAAACCGGUGUAAG
rnacentral:rRNA from 1 species